rnacentral:lncRNA from 1 species
CGGGACUCGGUGCGGAGUUGUGCGGGGAGCGCCGGGAUUCGGUGCGCAGUUGUGCGGAGAGCGGACGGGUUGGGGUAGCGGGGCAGGGGGGCCGCUGGGGCUCUGCGGUUGAAAGUGACCCCCCCACCGCGGUGCCCCCCUUCCCCCCCCCCCCCCCCCGGCUCCCCGCCGUGGGCAGCACCUCCCUCUCGGCGUUCCCACGCGGGAUUGGGCUGAGCCGGGAGGCGCGGGGCCGGGGGCGGCCGCAGCGCUCGUUGCCCCCCCGGUGCCCCCCGCGGAGGGCGAGCUCGCGGCUCCCGCUGUGCCGUGACCCCAGGAGGGCUUUGGGGGACCCCGAGACGGAGACAGCCCCGUCCCCAUCGCUGUGCGUGGGACGGAACCGCUCGCAGGGGUCCCGCAAAUCACAAGAGGUGCGGUGAUGCGGCCACGAGAGUCCCCCCCGCCGCCGGGACAGCCCCCCCCCGUCCCACGGAGAUGGUUUCGGGGCGCGGAGGGGCCCCGGGGCGGCGGCGGUGCCGCACGGUGCGGGUGGGCGGGCGGGUGCGUCCCCGCCGGUCGCUCCCAUCCACAUUCUCGAGGUGCCGCACCCUGCCCGGCCCGACGGGAGCAGCCGGGGCAGGACUCAGCGCCGCGGGGCCUCGGCCGGAGCGGGGACGGGGCGGGCAUCGCCCCACCGCCAUCCCCACGCAGACCCCUUUGUGGGGUUCCCGGGGCACAAAGUGGGGUCUCGGUGGGUCCCCGCCGCUCCCAUCGCCCUGCAACUCGAGCUCCGAGUGGUGGCACGUCCUCACCGCUGUACUCAGCGCUGCCCGCCCGCAGCAGGUGGAGCAGACCUUGAGCUUUGGCCGCAUAACACCGCGGGGCCGUUCCCUGCGGGGUGGGGGCACCUGGCAGUCCCCACCUC